CCCUGUGUUUGUUCCCCCCGGGGGGGGGGGGGGUGUCACUCUGGUUGUGUGUAUGUGAGUGCUUGUGUAUGGUGGGGUAGUUAUUAGUUCUGGUGGCCUCCACCAGGCGGCUGGCACUGGCCAGGUGGAAGGCCCUGAGUUGACCCCGAGGAGGCAGCUGAAAAAGUCACGAGGAGCAGAGUGUGGGUCAGUACACAGCAGAUAUGUACCAGAGGAAAGAUUCCUGCUCUAAAGCAGUCUCACCGUUGGAGACUCUCCUUUCCAGCACAGGAGGUGUUCUUCCCCUUCGCUGCCUUGAACCGGCUCUUUGGUUGCCUCUCCCGGUAUCUGGGAGGGUAGUUGACUCGCCGCUUGUCCUGCUCCGCCAAGCGAGUCCAAAGCAGGAUGAGUCGUUCUACUCUCAGGCAGCCCCAGAAGGUUCCUCCCUUCCACCAGCGCCUAGGCCAGGUUCAGGACGUGCUGGUACCCAGGCCAUCAGGACCCUGGAUGUUCUCCUGAGAAGAAACGAGGAGGAACAAAGCCAGUAAACACAGUGCUGUAAGAGACUCGAUCUCACAAUCAUCAGUAUGUGAACUUAGUUCAGAGUCUGAGGAGGGCUGCUGGGGAUCAGGGUCCUGAACCUCUGGGGCCUCAGGAGGGGCAACUUGACCAAAUCGGGAUGGCUUAGACGGUGCGUCAGCUGGAUCACCUGACCGAGAUGCUGCCACGCUGGAGGAUGGAGUAUCGGGCCCGAAGACUGUAGGGUCCGCUAAGUCUUCCUCGAUGCCCUCGUCCUCCUCCAGCGCCUCGAUGGUAGGAGCCUCGUCCGGAGUGUCAGGGUCCAGGCUGACGUCCUCAAGCACUUUGCCUUUCUGCUGGUACAGGUACUCAACUCCGAUGUGCUCCCCUCUCACACAGAGAAGGAAUCAGUCACGGCUCGUUUUGCUCUGUUAUGAAAUGAGGUGUUUUCACAUCGCAUACCUGUGUACUUAGCCAGCUCGGUGAAGUCCUUAACCACCUGAAGACCAAGCACUCUUUGGCUCUUCUGGUUAACAACGUGCUUGAGGUGGCCACUGUAGGAGUGCAGAGGUCCCAGCCGUCCCUCAUCUGCAGCCGGUGGUGGUGCAGCUGCUGCUGCGCGGUCCUCGCUCCACCUCACCAGUCCAUUCACCAGGAACGCCUGUAAGUGCUUGGCACUGUAAAUGGAGAGUACAUUUGUCACAAGCUGUGAGACACAUGCCGGUACCUGGGAUGAACCAGUUAUGGUGGAGGUGGAAGGACUCCAGAGAGGGUGGAGCCCCUGCGCAGCGAUAAAUGGGCAGGCUGACUCCUCCCUUGGUCAGCCGGCCCAUCUGGGUUUACAGCUGCACACCUGGCAGGUCCUGGAUGCAGCUGAGGUGGGUCCUCUGCGUACUCCAUAUGUCCUGGAAGCGGAGACUGUUGAGCAACGGGAUGCCCAGGUUGUUGCGUCCUGCCGGUCCACCGAAGGUGUCGAGGAGGGCCGAUUCCUCAGGCCCACGUGUCCUGCAACGGCAGUGGAGCCUCCACUCCUCCCUGGAGAUCCUCUGGAUCACCGCAGCGUCGGUCAGUCCAACCAUCCCGUGCUUCCCCUCCAGCCGGGACCGCUUAGCCUCUGCGAGAUGGCGUGCAUCUCCGGCGUAGAAGAUGCAGUGAGACAGCUUCCCCAUGAAGGCGGGGUACAGCUCGUGGCUCUCGGUGUCGACACCUGAUGGGAAGCGUCGCCCCAGCCAGUCGGUACUGCCUCAUCAAGCCCGCCGCCAUCCUGGACAGGCCCCCAGCGCUCUCGGUGCAAGUGAGGACGCUCAUGAAGACCUGCCCGUGCUCAUUGCCGACGUUGGUUGCCCAGGCGGCCGUGUCGGAGGAGAUACCCACGAGCAGAGAGAUUCUGAGAGUUAAUGUGAGAAACACACAGCAGCUGGAAGGAAAAGAAACUGACAGACUGCACUCGCCGCCUUGGUGGAAUCCAUCUUUAAGAUGGACCCUAAGGUGGACGUGAUCCUGGCCUUGUACUCUUCCAGCCGCGCCAGGACGUCGUAGCUGUAUACAGUCAGCAGCCAGACGGGGGAUGGCAGAGGUGGAAUCUGCCCCCUUGCCGAGCCCAAGGCCAGGAAUCGCUCGCACACGCUGAGGUACUGGAUCGCUCUCCGCAUCCAGGUGUCCGAGUGCUGCUCCCGCAGGGUGUUGUACAGCUGGUUGGCACUGUUGCGCAGAGUGCGGGACCUCAGCUGUAUCACCACCCUCAUGUCACAGGACAGCCUGCAGAACGCCAACAUCACGUAGAGCUGAGUCUGCACCUCCAACGGGAUGUUCAACACAAAUGGUGAAGAAAUGCCUCCUUACUUGUACGUGAGUACAGCUGGGAACUGGCAGCUAUGGGUGGGGGACAGCUGCCUGAUGAUGCCCUGUGACCACCCUCCGACGUGCUUCUUACAUCGACGGCACUCCAGGUACUCUGUGCCCAUGAGGUACCAGCCGUCGAUGUCCAGGACCCUCCGGAUGGUCCUGUACAGCCCAGCCUUGAUCAAGGACCCAGUGCACAAUGGCUAGGGGCAUGUCAGCUGCAAAUCCGGUGUGGCAUCCAGAGGAACAGCCGACAUGUGAAGAAGGGGUCGGGGGAUGCGGAAGGCUGGUUGUAGACCGGCCGGGAUUGGGGGGGUGCCAACAGAGGUUGAGCUCACCGACGAGCCAAGGCCUCCACUGGCUGUCCCUGGUAAACAGCACCCAUCCGAUCCACUGCUGCCGCUCCACAGUGAGAGCUGCCCUCCAGGACUGAGGCAGCAACUGGUGAGAUGACAGCACAAACAUAAAACCAUUUUAAUAUCUAUAGACAAUCAGCAGGGACACCUGUGGUCUCACGUGUUAGAGAUACUGCCUCACCUCACUGACAGAAGAUGGAGGGGGAGGGAGGAAGCCUGGACCGGGCAACUCCUCCUGUUCCUCCAUGGCGACGGGUGCAGACGGCGGCUGGAGGCAAGGGAGCCGGUGUCCCUGCAGGCUGAACCACGACAAGGGCUGUAGGAAGUUCCAUCAGGGCGUCUAUCUCCUGCGAGGCUUCCAGCAGCUCCUCGUCUGUGGGCUUGUCCAGCAGAGCAGAGACACCAGCUCCUGGAGGAGGAGGUGCUGCCGAGGAAGAGGAGGUGGCGACGAUCGCAGCGGGUGGUGGCAGGAGUAAAAGAGGGGCCUUUUGCAAGGUAAAAUAAAUGUUUGAGGUAAACGCUUGAGAUUAAGAUGAAUUAUUAUUAAUACUGAGAGACUGACGAAGAGCUGCAUUUACACACCACAAGAGAUCAGGAGGUGGUUUUAAAGAGAGAAAGUCAGGGUGAGAUGAUAACUAGUUAGCCAUGCAGAUGUUGAGCUAGCCAGGCACUGAUGAAAGCACAGUGAAAAAGACAAUGUUAUUUGUAGAGGUGGGUUAUUGAUCCAAGAUGAUCAUCAAAUCGCUGACCCAAAACUUACCAGUCAUCUGCUUUCGUCCUCUGAUCAAGAAACGUUUUAAAGUCAUAUUGAUUGUUGACGCUUUUUUUAGUACUUUGUGAACAAAGUGUUUCCUGUUUAUGACUUUACUCUUUACUUACACGUCUGUCUCCAAGUCAACUACCUCCGUGACCAGCUCUUCAUCUCAAGUCUCCACAGAUGACCGGGGGGAGGACAGAGCUGGUCGGAAGGGGCUGAAGUGGGGGGCUGCAGACACAUGAUGACAGAAGAUAAACCAGGAACACGGGAGCGUAGAUCAAGUGGAACAUCAGUAAAUAACUGAGGCUGGACUGACCUGUAGAUGCAGGCUUAGGGGCCACCAGCUUCUUCACCUGGGCCUGCAUCUCCACAGCAGAUAGAGACAAACACCACAAGCGCUGGACCAAGAGGCCUAUUAUGACACACGAUAAAUGACACGCAACAAUAAUUGAGACAACAUUACAAAAAGCACUUGUGAUGCACUCCUGGCUCUCAGGGUUGCGGGCGAUGCAGAGGCUGCGCUGCUGCUGGAGGCGGUGGAGGAGGUAGAUGCUCCAGCAGCAGCUUUCAUCCUCUGUCUGUCUCUGUUGCGCACAUACUGGACGGCGUUCUCCAUCUGCGUCCCUGGAGCUGGUGACGUCCUCCGGAGGUAUUUGACAAAACUGCACAAAUCAAACAAUCAACACUCACAUGAUUCUGAUGAUCGAUGGUCGCCACAGUAACGUGACUAUAGUAAUAAUAAUGAUCUUUUUCACCGGAUCUUUUUGUUGUCCGUUGCCUCGUAAAGGCUCUCCAGGGACUCAAACUUAAAGUCCCCGAAGCCAACAAGGGCCCGUCCCUGCUGACCGGGCUGGAGGGAAUUUGCCCGCGCCUCCUCAAAUGCCCGGUGGAACCUGACUGUCUCCACAAAGUCCUUGUAGGUGGAGGAGUAGCGGGUGAAGGGGUCCUGUGAGGUUACACAGUGAGAUUACACUAUGAGGUUAAAUAUCAUAAUUUCUCUAAUUGUAACUGUCUGAAAGUGUUAUGAAGGACUUAACCUCGUUGGCCAUCAGCGGGGACUGAGCCUCCGUCCUCUGGCGCUCUUUCUGGUGGGAGGCGACCAGAUUGACGCUGUAGCCCACGUCGUUCUCCAAAAGCCAGUGGAAGGUUCUGCCCUGGUAGCGACCCAACUGCACCUUCCACCGGCUCAGGACCAGGGAGGCGUUGGUGGUGUCACCGCCCUCGGUGACAACGAAAGUCCAGGCCUCCGAGUCCACCUCCUCUGGCCUCUUUGCCCUGUAAGGCGCCUGGGCACUGGGGGGCAUCUGGUUUGGCGGCAAAUCACUGUCAAAAUUUGAGAGCGUAAAUCAGGUUGAUGCGCGCACCUCAAUCAAACAUCCGCGAGCAAAUGUCCGUCUCGCGUGAGCAAAAGUCCAUCUUGCGCGAGAUAUUUGCCCUCUCGCGAAACGUGAACUUCCUCGCUUGCGAGGUUAGUCUCUGCUCGCGCUCGAAGGUGUUUUCUACGCGCUCGCUGUUUUUCUUUUUGACAGUAAGGGGGCGGAGCCAGUCACCAUGGUAUCUACAUCUGAUUGGUUACAAACCCCGUGUUUGGAUUGGCUGGAGUGAUGCAUUCACACAACUAUAGAAGCCCAUUUCUGCACUAAUGUAAGGGGAUAGAAAGUCGAAUUUCUGAGAUAAAACGUUCGGUAACCGUAGUGGACCGUAGAUGACAACCAGCUACAACCAUCAUUUACCAUCAUUACCAUAUGCGUUCCACCAGCCCGUUCGUCUGCGGGUGAUACACGCUCGUACGAACUUAAUAAAAGUUACGAACGGCCUUAAUGCCCAGUAACCCGUAAAGUUCUCUCAGUGUGCACGACAUGAACGUAGUGCCCUGGUCAGUCAGAAUCUCCUUAGGGAUUCCAACUCGGGAGAUGACCUGAAACAGAGCCUGCGCGAAGCUCUUUGCAGAGAUAUUGUGCAACGGCUCUGCCUCCGGAUAACGCGUUGUCAGAGUUCCCCCCUCCGGACCCAGGUAAAGGCUGGUUUAGGUCGGCCUCGCACGUACCUGUCUCAGCUCUGCAAUCACGCACCUGCACCGGAGCCACAAUCACCAGGGGAUAAGAGGGAGAGCCUGACAACCGGCCGACGUCGGAUCGUUACUCACGUCACCUAUGUCGACCUCAGUCUUCGCGAGUCUCAGUGACCAGCACCCAGUCAAGCCGAGAGCCGGCUGUUCUCUUUUCAUUCAGUGUAAAUCCUGUUACUUACCUCUUGUCUCACCUCCUCGGUUACAGUGACACCUGUCUGUUCCUGCACGUGGGAGGACCACUGGGCACCGCGCACUGUCGAGGAGAUCAUCACCCGGGACCCCCUCCUUCAUCUGCACUCCUCACGCCCACAACACAAAGCGAUAUCCGCGUGUGAUAUCUGCGAUAUCCGCGUGCGCUCCGGUGAAACGGCCCGAUGAGGUCCAUGCCGAUCCGCUCGAACGGAACCUCCACCAACGGUAGAGGACGCAACGGCGCCCUCGGAAUGGCCGGAGCGUUCACUAACUGACACUCCGGGCAGUACGCGCACCGGCGGCGCACGUCCCCCCGGAUGCCUGGCCAAUAAAAUCGGGUCAUUAUCCGGUCUAGUGUUUUCUUGUAUCCCAUGUGACCAGCCAUCGGGUUAUAGUGAGCUGCCUGGAAAAUCAUUUCCCGGCGGCUUUUUGGCACCAGCAACUGAGUGUUUUCCUGCCCCGUCUGACUCACUCUAUACAGUCUGUCCCUAAUCAACGAAAAGUGCAGAAAUGACUGCGCUGCAUCAGGGCGCACCAGAUGACCAUCAACUCGUAUCACUUGGUCGUAGGCUGAGCGUAGGGUAUCGUCACGAGACUGUUAGAGUGGAAAAUCUUCCAUGGAGCGAAACUCGGGAGCCAGCGGAGUCUCCAAGGGAGGCUCUGCGGGUUCCCCCUCCCCGUCUGCAGUGUCGGACGACCCUGCGUCACCGCUGAGCACAGCGCACAUCUCCCUGUCGGUCGUGAACGCACCCCCGUAGCCCCCCCAUUAGCUAUCAAACCCCGGCCAAUCUGUACCCAAAAUGACGGGGUGCGUCAGGCGGGAGCUAACCGCGACCUUCAUUCUAUGCUUUUUCCCCUCAUACCUAAUUUCCACCGAUAUUAUUACAUUACAUGUCAUUUAGCGGACGCUUUUAUCCAAAGCGACGUACAAUAAGUGCAUUCAACCAUAGAGUACAAACUCAGAACAAGAAAGUGCAAUUUCCUCAAAUAAGCCAAUUUACAAUUUGCUAUAGAUGAGUGACGUUACAAGUACAAUUUAAGUGCUACAAUUCGUUAGUCUUUAGUCGAGGUAGAGUCUGAAGAGGUGUGUCUUUAGUUUGCGGCGGAAGAUGUGAAGGCUCUCUGCGGUCCUGGUGUCUUCAGGGAGCUUGUUCCACCAUUUCGGCGCAAGGACAGCGAAGAGUCGAGAUCUAGUCGAGAUACCACAGGAUACACGUGAACAUUACCCAUGCACACACCAUAGUCUCACCCGGUCUGCCUCCACCAAUGCCCCCGGCCGAACCAGGCUCUGAUGAAUCAUAGACUGCGUGCAGCCCGAGUCCACCAUCGCCUGGCGUAUACCCCCCUGGAUCCUUACCGGAAUGCGGUACAACGCUCCCGGGCCGGGGGAGGGUGUUGGAACGCCAGCAACCCGGAUCACUGUGCCCAGGGCACCGGUGUUCUCUGGGGUCGGUGAGUAGCGGGCCGGGAGGAACGAUGUCCGUCGUGGGGUCGGCACGGGUCGCUCCGCCGCCGGCUGCUGCCCCCCUCCCCGUUGCGCUGGUCGGGCCGGGGAUGGCGUACCCCCCUGGUCCCGCUGUCUGCCGGGGUGCACCGCCAGGUGAUCCUCCGCAAGGGUGAUGGCAGCUCUGAGGGUCGGCGGGCGGUGGUAUUUCACCCACGCUGCCGUCCGGGUCGGGAGCCCCUCUGCAAACUGCUCCAACACCACCUUCUCCAUCACUGCUUCCACUCCACCCCAUCGCCGUUAGGCAGCAGCCAUCUGCUCACGGCAUCCUUGAGCCGCUGCCCGUACGUGAACGGCCGGUCCUCUGGCUCAGCUGAGGCCAAUUGCCUCCACCUGGCACCGUUCCCUGAGCCACUCCCUUCUCCGUCCCCUCUGCAGCCGAGCCAAACCACGCCCGCCACCACAAGGGUGUUCCAUCUAAACAAAUGGACCCUACAUGACACGUGACACUCCCAUCUAUGACAUCAGUUAUAUUACAGCAGUGUUAAUUUUGUAAGCUAUUUUUGAUUUAGUCUUAUGCAUAUUAGUUUUAGUCACAUUUAGUCAUUUUAAUCCUUCUUAGUUUUAGUCUACUUUUCGUCGACGAAAACUAGACUAAAAUGUAAUUAGUUUUAGUCUAGUUUUAGUGCCAUUUAAUAGCCAUAUUAAACUCCUUUUCUUCCCUUCUCAGGUCCAGGGACCCCCUGUGUUGUGUCUACAACUGCAUAAUGGUCUAGCUUGCAGUACUUGGUUGUCCAUUAGAUGUCCCUCCUAGGACAGGUUUAUAGCAGGUCGGCAAACUUUUUGACUGCCGGGCCACAAUGGGUUGUAAAAUGUGACGGAGGAGCCGGGCCAAGAACAAAUGGUUGAAGUGUUUGUGUGAGCGAAUAUAAAUGACAUGUGAAAGGAAAGGAUUUGGAUUUUAACAAAUAGCAAAGCAUUUAUUUGCAAGGCAAUUUAACAAAUUGGCAAAGGUGUAACAACUUCAUGAGGACCAGGGAUCUAAACACAACACUUUGUUGUCUUUGUCUGUUUACUUGCAAUGCUUUUGAAACUUCAUGGUCCUUUAUUGUUUCCACUGUGAAAUUGCUCGUUGUCACGCCCUAAUUGUGUUCACCCGUAUUCACCUGUUUUUCCCCUGUCUCCUCCCAAACCAGGUGUUCCCUGUUUGUCAAUUAUCCCUUGGGCAUAUAACCUGUGUCUUCUCCCUGUACUUGUUGCCAGUUCGUCUUGUGUGUUUCACCAGGUCUUACCAGCGUUAUAUCCCCGUAGUUUCCAGUCGAUUCUUGAGAUCCCCCGUGUACUGACCCCUGCCUGCCUCUGACAACGACACGGCCUGCCACCUCUGUACCUCCGACCUCCUGUGUACCGAACUCCGGCCUGCCUCUGACAACGACACUGCCUGCCACCUCUGAACCCCUGAUCUCCCGUGCACCGAACUCCUGCCUGCUUCCGACAACGACACUGCCUGCCCGAAUUCCUCUUCAUUAAACCUUAUUCCUCAUAUCUGCGUUCGGGUCUCUGUCUGAGUCGUGAUACUCGUCCCAACUAAAGAGACCUUAAUGUCCUACAAUCGGUGAAAUACAUUAUUUUCUAGGCUGCAUCAAAAAGCAGCCAUUCUAAACUGGACCAACACUUUUCAUUCAACAGUCUUUUCUUUUUCUUUGUCUUUGUUUAUUUGUUGGUUUCAUGACCAGUUCUUGUCUCUUGGUUUCAUGACCAGUUCUUGUCUCUUGUGUCCUGCGGGUUUUCCUCCACCUGCUCUGUGCCGCCACGUCCUUCACCUGCACUGCGCACUUCUAUCAAAAGGCUCCACCUGUCACGCGUGUGCGCGCCUCUACGUUGCUUAGUAACGAGCGUACGGUGGCCGAGACGGUUUAACACCGUCUUCUCACGAUGUGGCGUGUGAACUAUAGUUGAAAUGCGUGAGGCUUGAGAACCUGCAAUGAGUUUAUUAUGUUAAACGUGUUAACAGCCCCGAGCUGUUAAACGGGUCUUCAUGUUUCUGUGAAGCAGCACGGCUUCAGCCUGCUAACAGGCAGCUAACCAGAGACAGCUGAGCUAAACUAACGAAGCCACGUUCAAACUCGCCGAAGCGUAAAAUAGUCGUCGCGGUCCGCAGUCGUGCACAAGAAGCACCGCUGCACCGAUGCGAGUGAGCGUUCUGGGUUCGUGGAUGACGUCAUCAUGACACGUUAAUAACCGCCGUACUUUUCCUGUCUGUUGUCUGUCAGCUGCGGGCGAAUUUAGGGGGAAAAAACAUGUUUGUCUCGUUAACGAAAGUUAGAAUAGAUUUAGUCAUGGUUUUUAUUUUUUAAGUAACGUCUUAGUCUCGUUUUAGUCAUGGAUUAAAAGGUUGUUAACAAAAAAUUUGUCAUAGUUUUCGUCGACGAAAUUAACACUGUAUUACAGUAUUUCCUCUUGUCAUUAAAUCCUUCCUAUCAGAGGCAACCGAUGUCUGUCUCUAAAUAUGCACAUCUUUUUGAAUGGUUGUUAUUCCACAACAAGACAUUUGUCUUGUGCUAAACCUGUGUCUGAAGUGUCUGUAUUUGACCCUGAUGUGCAAAAGCAGAAAGAUUUAAAGUUUUCAUAUGCAGCUGUGUCUGAAGAAGGGAGUUAACUUGCUCUCACAGACGCUCGAACAAACUAGCAUUGUGUGUUACCCUCAUCUUCACCUUAUCUCAACCUGAUUUGUAGCUUCUUGUAACUGGCACUGAGGACGGUCUUCAUGUGUAUAAAGACUGAGUGUUUUUACUGCUCGGAGACGCCAUUUACACCGAACGCUGAAAUACGUGCUUGUGUGAGACCUCCUGCUUGCAAGCAAUAGUUAGUGCCAGAUAUCUGGGGAGAAUUGCUUAUGUAAUCUUUUUCUCUUCUAAAUAAAUGUUAACUUUUUGACUUUAAUUAAUCAACGUGCUGCGAUCCUUCUCAUCAAACGACUCGGGGGGAUCGGAGAUCCCCACACACAUAAAUGACGAAUUAUUCCACAUAAAUGACAAAUAUCACAAUUCUACUGGACUGUUGAAUGACACAUGAAUAAAACAUGCUGCUGUUAGUUGUAAUAAAGUAACGUUAGAACUUGUUAAUAGCUGGUACUGUCAACAUGUGGCGCAUAACUGAUGACUGCGGUCAACUCGAUUCCAGGCUGCCCCAUGUUCCAUGUCGAAGUGUCCCUGAGCAAGACACCUAACCCCGAAUUGCUCCCCAGGCAAAAAUGUGAGAAAAGCCAUGGGUUUAAAGUGUAAUGUAAGUCGCUUUGGAUAAAAGCGUCUGCUAAAUGACCUGUAAUGUAAUGUAACUCAGCCGACGCUUGAAAUUUAGUGCACGCAUAUGCUGACAUUUACGGUAUUGAACAAGUAACCCGAAAAAAGGCUAAUUAAAUAGCAAAUUCCAGACAAUGAUAGAACUAUGUGUGUAAAGGACUACUGGUGUACAAUAAAAUAAAUAUUUGUACAGUAAAAAUUUGGAGAUUUCGCAAGUAAAAGCCCUAUAAUUAAAAUUUCAAAAACACAAUUUCUCCAUAUUUGAGCUGCAAUAAAAACUGAUUUCCCUAUAGUUCCAGUCCAAGAUCAAUGUACCUGUGUUAAGGACCUCUCUGACUACUGACAUGCUGAAUUUGAAACAUUUUUACUUUACAGAUUUGGAGAUAUCUGCAAAGUAAAAGCCCUAUUUUUUCAAGUUCAAAAACACCACUUCUCAAAGUUUGAACUGCAAUUAAAACAGAUUGAUCAAUAGUUCCAGACUGAGACUAAUGCACAUGUGUUAAGGACCUCUCUGACUACUACCAUGAUGAAUUUGAAACAUUUUUACUGUACAGUUUGACAGAUUUCACCAAAGCAAAAGCCCUAUAAUUGCACGUUCAAAAACACCUGUCACGAUCUGGCGCUCCCCAGAGUACUGAGGCCUUCAAUAUCUGGUCCCCAAACUCCCCCCCUGUUUACUGUGCAGUUGGUCUGUCCCGUUUUGUGUUGGUUUGUUCCACUGUGUGUCUGUCUGUUGUGCACGCCCACUCACCGGUGUCUGGUUCCCCAUCAAGCUGGUCUGUAUAUAUACCCCUUAUCCCUCUGUGUUCUUUGCAAAGUCUUGUGUAAUUGUUAUCACAUUCUGAGCGCUAUUUGGAUAUCCUGUUUUGUACUCUCGUUGAAGACCCCUUUUUGUUCCAGACCUCGUUGCCUCCUGCCUGAUUCCUGACUGUACCUUUGCCCUUGUCCGUGCUCCUGGAUAUCGACCUCCCACCUGUCUUUUGGAUAUGACUAAGCCUAAUCCCUGUAUACCUGUUCUUCAUUAAAUCUCCGCUCUGCACUUGGGUCAACUCCUGUCUCCUGUGAUGCGUUACAACACCAUUCCUCAAAGAUUGGACUGCCAUAAAAACAGAUUGAUCAAUAGUUACAGGCCAAGACCUAUGUACCUGUGUUAAGGACCUCUCUGACUACUACCAUACUGAAUAUCAAGUACUUUUACUGUGCAGAUUUGGAGAUUUCUUCAAAGUAAAAGCCCUAUUUUUGCUCGUUCAAAAAGACCAUUUCUCAAAGUUUGAACUGCAAUAAAAACAGGUUGAUCAAUAGUUCCAGACCAAGACCAAUGUACCUGUGUUAAGAACCUCUCUGACUACUAGCAUGAUAAAUAUCUAACAUUUUUACUGUACAGAUUUGGAGAUUUCACCAAAGUAAAAGCCCUAUAAUUGCAUGUUCAAAAAGAUCAUAUCUCAAAGUAUCUCAAGUUGAAAUGCAAUACAAACAGAUUGAUCAAUAAUUCCAGACAAAGACGUACAUUUAUCCGUACAACACUUUCAUGACAAUAAAUUCACUGACUAUUUUGUAUAUACAAGUUAAAGAUUCUCGAAAAUAAACAUUCGUCUAACAUUUAUACAUUCAUGGACAUCUUUGAUCUUAGUAAAAAAAUAAAUUGACCUUUUAGUAGGUUCUUUGACACAAUUAACAAACGUGAAUCCUAAUGUGGGGGGUCUAGAAGGAACAGACCUUGGCGGCAGAUUCUGGCUCUGGGGAUGGGGAACGUAACCUCUCUGGGGGGGAAGGAGCCGGAGCUUGUGCGGGAGGUGAAGCGUCAGUUGGAUCUGGUGGGGCUUACCUCUACGCACAGCCUCGGCUCUGGAACCACACUCCUGGAUAGGAGAUGGACUCUAUUCUACUCCGGGUGUGGGGAUACUCAAGUCCCCAGCUGAGUGCUGCUACAUUGGACUUUACCCCAGUGGACAAAAGGGUCACCUCCCUAUGCCUUCAGGUGGUGGAGGGGAAAGCUCUGACUAUUGUCUUUGCAUAUGUACCAAACAGCAGCUCAAAUUAUUCAGCCUUUUUGGAGACCCUGAAUGGAGUCCUGCAUGGGGCUCCAGUAGGGGACUCCAUAGUCCUACUGGGAGACUUCAAUGCGCACGUGGGCGACGAUGGAGAUAACUGGAGAGGCGUGAUUGGGAGAAAUGGCCUCCCUGAUCUGAACCCGAGCGGUUGUUUGUUAUUGGACUUCUGUGCUAGUCACGGAUUGUCUAUAACAAACACCAUGUUCGAACGUAAGGAUGUUAAUAAGUGUACGUGGUACCAGAACAUCCUAGGCCAAAGAUCAAUGAUCGAUUUUGUAAUCGUAUCGUCUGAUCUGAGGCCGCAUGUUCUGGACACUUGGGUGAUAAUCAAAAUGUCUUUUCAUGGGCUUAGUUGGGGGUUCGCUGUCUUGUCUUGAUUUAAGAGUUAGGUAAGGGGGGAAGCAAGAUGUCGAGCAGGCAGACACGAGUCUGACAGGAUGGGGAGUCAGUUUCUGUCCAGGCUGAGGAAUGCAAGAUCUGCAGGUCAACUAGCAGAUUUGCUAGCCUAAGGGGGGUUAGAGACACACCAACACUAUUCAACAUACACACUCUGUUUACGAUGUUUACGUUAAGUCAGGAGUCUGGACAUUGGAUGUGACCGGAUCUUAGAUGCGGGAGGUGGAAGGUCCUCCUCUACGCCAGUUUAGGGCCAAUAGAAAUCUUUCCUUCUCUGUCUUUCAAGGGUUAUAAAACAUGAUGUUCUUGCUGAUGUUAGUUAUGUCACACCUGUAUGUCAAGUUGCGUUUUUGUCCUGUCUCCAGUUGUUUUUUGACUUCCUGUUUUAUUUUGGAAACUAACUCCCUCUCGUUUCAGGUCCCUUGCCCUUCCUCAUGUGUCACCAGUCUGAUUGUCUCCCCUGAUUCCUGAUUGUGUCCACCUGUUCCCACAACUCCCUCAUGGGUACUUAUAGUCUGCGUCGCCCCUUGUCCUGUGCCAGUGUGUCUUGUUGUUUUGCCCUGCACACCAGCCCUCACGUCACGAGUCAAGUCAAGUCCGAUAACGUUUGUCACGUCCUUUUGAUCCCUGUUACAU
ensembl:lncRNA